rnacentral:lncRNA from 1 species
AAAAGAAUGAAGAUCACCUUUAUUACCCCCAAAACCGUAAUGACAUUUGACAUUAUAGUGAUUUUCUCAUUUAUACUUGUGGCUUCUCUACAUUAGGAAGCAAAAAUCAGAGAACACAAACACAAUUGGUUGAAUCAGAGACGGCACAGCAUUCCAUUAGAAAACAAAAAACCAGAAUACACUAGUGGAGCAAGUUAGAAAUGGUGUGGGCGGGGGGGAAAGACACAUUCAUAAACCAUUCUCCUCUAGCCCCACAAAAUCUGAACAAGAAUAAUUGAAAGAACAGAGCAGUGGAACUAACAUAUCUUCUAUACUUGCUUUUAAUGAUAAUGGAAUCUUUAGAUUUUACUUAAAUCUGUGUUUAGUUUAGAAUAGGCAUAGGCAAACCCAGCCCUCCAGAUGUUUUGGGACUACAACUCCCAUCAUCCCUAGCUAACAGGACCAGUGGUCAGGGAUGAUGGGAAUUGUAGUCCCAAAACAUCUGGAGGGCUGAGUUUGCCUAUGCCUGGUUUAGAAAAUGUUAAAUCUAUCUCUUCAAGCAUUCUUUAAAAAAGUUUGCAUAGUCCCAUUUUCCCUUUCCAAAAAUAUCUACGCGCUCUCUUUCUCUCUAUAGAAUUAUCUGAAUAUAAACUGAGCGCAGCUCUCUUCUGAGCCUCAAUAACUUUUCCAAGAAAAUAAACAUGAUCUCUCUCAUUUUUUUUCUAACCCUCUCAAAAAUAUGGGCUUAAAAAACAAAACUAGCAAACAUUUUCUCUUGAAGCAAAGUAAAAGAAUCAGAGGCUCUACUCUUAAGUUCCAAGUUCCUUUUACUUCUCCAGGGGAAGGGGAAUAUAUCUCCCCCCACUAGCCAAAGAGGGAAGGGGAAAGGUUAGGACAGACUGGGGUGGCUUCCUUCCCCACGCUGGUUGGGACUGAUGGGAACUGCAGUCCACCAAUAUUGAGAGGGCCACGUUUCCCAGUCCUGACAUAGGAUGGCCAGGUGCAGUCAGCCCACAAUGGGGACUCUGCAGAACAAGACCCUUGGGAUGUGGAGGGCUAAAGAUCCUACAAACACUUGCUGCUAGGCAGAGAGUUUGUGCAUCAGGCCCUAUGAAGAGCAGCCCUGUCCACAGGGCAAAGAAACAAUGGCACAUAUUUCCUUAGCUAGCUUGAGGAGGGGAGCAGGAAAAGUGGGUUCGUUUAGCAGCUCCUGAGAUCAAGCUACAAGGGAGAGAUCUGCUCUUCUCCUUGAGGUUCCCCCUCUCCAGGAGAGGUGCAUUUAACAUGGGCGCUUUAACGCGAUGCGUACCAGGUAUGGGGCCUUCCAGAGGUUCACAUUAUGGGCACAGUCCAGCUGCACAAGAGUUUGUUUUUUUGUUGUUAAGCGGGGGGGGGGGAAGAAUACACAAAAUGAAAUAUAAACACAGCUCAUGUUCAAGACCUUAAAUCGCCACUCAUUGGUGUCUUGGGCUUUCUUUACAAAGGAACAAACCAUGCCUUUUAAAAUAAGGAAAUAAAUCAUCUCAACAAGUCAGGGGCAGCCAGGUGAAUUUAGUACAUAACUACUUUUUUGCCCCUCCCCAAGUGCUGAGCAAACUGUGAAAUUCAGUUACCUGAUCCCUUUCACCACCAUUCUAGCCUUCAGGGUCUCUACUGAGCCCAUCUCCAUCAUCAGUGCAGCAGGAGAUUAGCACGAUUCACUAAGGCUCAAUGUAUUACCCACAGGGAAAAGGUGCCUCAUUCGCUACCCACCACAAAUACCAUUACACUGAAUACCCUUUGCAUUCUGCAGAUCAGAUUCACAGAGAGACAGGGAGAUACCAAAAAACAGAAAGUCUAAGUUGCAGGAGAGUUGAAGCCCAACCUGUUCUCAUUUGGCACUGGACAUAGGAGGACAAAAAUACUGCUCCCUAUCAGCUAACAGCUUUCUCUAACCAGGUACCUCCAGAUAAGCUGGUCUACAACUGCCAUCAUCCCUGAUGAUUGGCCAUACUAGCUAGUCCUGAAGGGAGUUGCGAGUUCAACACCAUCCAGAUGGUCUUAGGGUGGUAUCCAACUAUGUUCUACCCAGUGAAAUUAAUGGGCCCAAGUUGGUAAUAUUCAUUAAUUUGAGUGGGUCUGUUCUGAGUAGAACCAACAUGGAUACAAACAUUUGCCCCUAUAAAAUCUUUUGCGAGACCCGAGGGGAUGGGAAUUUGAUGGAGGUGUUAUUGCCGAAACUUCUGGGUUUUAAAGCAGUAUGACUAUCAAAAUGGCGAGGCUUCACUGGGUUCCUGCUUUGUCUCACACAAGCUAGAAAUAAUAAUAAUAACCCCCAACACAAGAUAGCAAUGAAACAGUGAUUCCCCUCAAAAAAAAAAGAAAAGAAAAAAAGAAGAAGCUGCAAAACACCAGCCUGCUGGGUUCAUAAACAAAAUUCAACAAAAAUUCAAGAAUAAAGAAAUGAAAAAAAGUCUCUAAGCAGGAUCAGUGGUCUGAGAAGUUCAAUUAAGAAACAAAAAAAUACAACCAUUAUCUUCCAGUCAACUAGGAACAAACACACCAAUCAUGCCAAGAAAGACAGUGCUUGUGAUGCAACUAACAUUUUAAGCAGCAGCAGAAUGGCUGACCAAAAAAAGUCCCCAGCUCCCCCAACACAGAUCCUAUUCAACUAGUGAAGUGCACUUAGAGAAGAGCCAUGGAUGGAAUUUUAGGAUGGGGUGAUAAAAUCAUAGACCCCACAGACUCCCUUGGUUCUUACUAAUAUUGAAACAAAACUGGUUUAGCCUUGAAAGCAGUACCAAGUGGCAUGGCACAACAGAGCACACAAUUUCAUCAUAGCAACACAUUUUAAGUCAAAGCUUCAAGAACCUAACAAGCCAUCAAGAGCACUGAAAGAUGGCCCCUAAGAACAGCUGUUACUGGCUGGGGCCUGCAGGGAGCUGUCACCCCAAACUUCUAGGGGACACCAGUUUGGGGAAGGUAGCAACAGAAGGAUGCCCUUUCCCCUCCUACUUCCUCCUGAUCAGGGGUCCCCAAACUAAGGCCCGCAGGCCGGAUAAGGCCCGAGGGACUCAUUUAUCCGGCCCGCGGCAACCCCCACAGGGUCUAUCCAUUUGGUCCGUGAGGCUAUUUUGGCCAAGCCAUGCCCACCUGCCCUACACGGCAACUGAAAAGAGGGGCUUGCAAGCACCACUGCUUGGCAAUGCCUACAGAACCCCUAAGAAAAGCACUGCUCAAGGUAGGACUGUGAAAGGGGCUUCUGAAGAGCAGAUAAUCAGCUGAUUGUUGUGUCUUCAGAAGCUCCUUCAAAGCCCCAUCCAGCACAGCAUUUGGAAAGGGGUUUAGCAAAACUGAUUACAAGGCCCCUUCAGGUUUUGGCCACCUGUCAAACUUGGCCCAAAAGCAGUAGGUGGAGUAAAAUCUGGCCCACUAGUCAGAAUGAAUUCCCCCCUCCCUUCAGUAGAUGAUGUGCGCAGCCUGGAGCCCUAAAUAUAGCUAAACCCUAAAGAAAGGAUGCUCCAAAGCAUGCACAGUGGUACCUCUGGUUGAAAAGAGCGCAACCCGCAGCGGCAUGUCUGCGUACAUGCGGGUUGCGAUUCACCGCUUGUGCGCAUGGCGUCAUUUUGCAUAUCUGCGCAUGCGCGAGUAGUGAAACCCAGAAGUAACCCUUCCGGGUUGCGCAGGACGUAACCUGAAUGAAGCGGACAUAACAUGAGGUAUGACUGUAAAGUGAAGGCUGUGUGCCCGCACUUCCACCUCAGAACACAGUGGUCUAGUCAGUUCAGAGACAGCAACCCUACAGAGCCA